rnacentral:rRNA from 1 species
GUGGGGAAUAUUGGGCAAUGGACGCAAGUCUGACCCAGCAACGCCGCGUGAAGGAAGAAGGCUUUCGGGUUGUAAACUUCUUUUAAGGGGGAAGAGUAGAAGACGGUACCCCUUGAAUAAGCCACGGCUAACUACGUGCCAGCAGCCGCGGUAAUACGUAGGUGGCAAGCGUUGUCCGGAUUUACUGGGUGUAAAGGGCGUGUAGCCGGGAAGGCAAGUCAGAUGUGAAAUCUGGAGGCUCAACCUCCAAACUGCAUUUGAAACUGCUUUUCUUGAGUAUCGGAGAGGUAAUCGGAAUUCCUUGUGUAGCGGUGAAAUGCGUAGAUAUAAGGAAGAACACCAGUGGCGAAGGCGGAUUACUGGACGACAACUGACGGUGAGGCGCGAAAGCGUGGGGAGCAAACAGGAUUAGAUACCCUAGUAGUCC